GGCAAGAGUCCCUCCGGAGAGGUGCUUACGUAAAGUUACUACGCAAAGGAGGCUCCGGGUGAACCUUACCUAUCGUUGCUUCGGCGGUCACGCCCCGGCGCCCUCGCGGCCCGGACCCAGGCGCCCGCCGGAGACCCCAAACCCUCUGUCUUUAGUGGUUUUCUCCUCUGAGUGACAUAAACAAAUAAAUAAAAACUUUCAACAACGGAUCUCUUCGAUGCCACAUCGAUGAAGAACGCAGCGAAAUGCGAUAAGUAAUGUGAAUUGCAGAAUUCGUUAAAUCAGAGUUUCUUUGAACGCACAUUGCGCCCGCCAGUAUUCUGGCGGGAGGCCGGGAGCGAGCGUCAUUUCAACCCUCAGGCCCCAGUGCCUGGCGUGGGUUAUAGAGCGUAAACUCAGUAAUGAUCCCUCCGCAGGUUACCUACGGACCCCUGAGAUUCAGUGGCGGUCUCGCUGUAGCCCUCCUCCGCGUAGUAGCGCGACAUCCGGCCUCGCUCGGCGGGUCGGCGCGUUAUAACCAAACACCCCACUUCUGAAAGUUGACCUCGGAUCAGGUAGGAAUACCCGCUGAACUUAAGCAUAUCAAUAAGCGGAGA
rnacentral:rRNA from 1 species